GAUGAACGCUAUCUACAGGCUUAACACAUGCAAGUCGAGGGGCAGCAUGGUCUUAGCUUGCUAAGGCCGAUGGCGACCGGCGCACGGGUGAGUAACACGUAUCCAACCUGCCGUCUACUCUUGGACAGCCUUCUGAAAGGAAGAUUAAUACAAGAUGGCAUCAUGAGUCCGCAUGUUCACAUGAUUAAAGGUAUUCCGGUAGACGAUGGGGAUGCGUUCCAUUAGAUAGUAGGCGGGGUAACGGCCCACCUAGUCUUCGAUGGAUAGGGGUUCUGAGAGGAAGGUCCCCCACAUUGGAACUGAGACACGGUCCAAACUCCUACGGGAGGCAGCAGUGAGGAAUAUUGGUCAAUGGGCGAGAGCCUGAACCAGCCAAGUAGCGUGAAGGAUGACUGCCCUAUGGGUUGUAAACUUCUUUUAUAAAGGAAUAAAGUCGGGUAUGGAUACCCGUUUGCAUGUACUUUAUGAAUAAGGAUCGGCUAACUCCGUGCCAGCAGCCGCGGUAAUACGGAGGAUCCGAGCGUUAUCCGGAUUUAUUGGGUUUAAAGGGAGCGUAGAUGGAUGUUUAAGUCAGUUGUGAAAGUUUGCGGCUCAACCGUAAAAUUGCAGUUGAUACUGGAUAUCUUGAGUGCAGUUGAGGCAGGCGGAAUUCGUGGUGUAGCGGUGAAAUGCUUAGAUAUCACGAAGAACUCCGAUUGCGAAGGCAGCCUGCUAAGCUGCAACUGACAUUGAGGCUCGAAAGUGUGGGUAUCAAACAGGAUUAGAUACCCUGGUAGUCCACACGGUAAACGAUGAAUACUCGCUGUUUGCGAUAUACUGCAAGCGGCCAAGCGAAAGCGUUAAGUAUUCCACCUGGGGAGUACGCCGGCAACGGUGAAACUCAAAGGAAUUGACGGGGGCCCGCACAAGCGGAGGAACAUGUGGUUUAAUUCGAUGAUACGCGAGGAACCUUACCCGGGCUUAAAUUGCAGAUGAAUUACGGUGAAAGCCGUAAGCCGCAAGGCAUCUGUGAAGGUGCUGCAUGGUUGUCGUCAGCUCGUGCCGUGAGGUGUCGGCUUAAGUGCCAUAACGAGCGCAACCCUUGUUGUCAGUUACUAACAGGUUCCGCUGAGGACUCUGACAAGACUGCCAUCGUAAGAUGUGAGGAAGGUGGGGAUGACGUCAAAUCAGCACGGCCCUUACGUCCGGGGCUACACACGUGUUACAAUGGGGGGUACAGAGGGCCGCUACCACGCGAGUGGAUGCCAAUCCCCAAAACCUCUCUCAGUUCGGACUGGAGUCUGCAACCCGACUCCACGAAGCUGGAUUCGCUAGUAAUCGCGCAUCAGCCACGGCGCGGUGAAUACGUUCCCGGGCCUUGUACACACCGCCCGUCAAGCCAUGGGAGCCGGGGGUACCUGAAGUGCGUAACCGCGAGGAGCGCCCUAGGGUAAAACUGGUGACUGGGGCUAA
rnacentral:rRNA from 1 species